rnacentral:rRNA from 1 species
UACGGAGGGUGCAAGCGUUAUCCGGAUUCACUGGGUUUAAAGGGUGCGUAGGAGGGCAGGUAAGUCAGUGGUGAAAUCUCCGGGCUUAACUCGGAAACUGCCGUUGAUACUAUCUGUCUUGAAUAUUUGUGGAGGUGAGCGGAAUAUGUCAUGUAGCGGUGAAAUGCUUAGAUAUGACAUAGAACACCGAUUGCGAAGGCAGCUCGCUACACAUAUAUUGACUCUGAGGCACGAAAGCGUGGGGAUCAAACAGG